rnacentral:rRNA from 1 species
CGCGUAGGCGGCCAUCUAAGUCGGACGUGAAAUCCCCCGGCUUAACCUGGGAACUGCGUCUGAUACUGGAAGGCUUGAGUAUGGGAGAGGGAUGUAGAAUUCCAGGUGUAGCGGUGAAAUGCGUAGAUAUCUGGAGGAAUACCGGUGGCGAAGGCGGCAUCCUGGACCAUUACUGACGCUGAGGCGCGAAAGCUAGGGAGCAAACG